rnacentral:misc_RNA from 1 species
UGCCCCCUUCCCAAACAAACUGUCAUUGACUCGAUCGUACUCUCGUGUACUCGUAUACAUACAUGCGAUGCACUCGCUACAAUUUUCUUUUUUAACAACCUGUUAACGGGUCAGCUGGGUGAGAAAAAAAAAGAUUGGUAUAUAAACACAGGUUAACAUAUAAUGAAAGGAUCAGUGGUGUCUGUUGUCGUGCUUCUUCUCGGCGUGUUCCCCUUGAUGGUCAGGUCAGGUGGAAGUCCCCGAGUCUGCAACACGAUGUCGUUAAGACGGGUGCACGUCAACGGACUCUGUGGCGACUCCUUCACCAACACCCUGGACAGUUUAUGUCACAGACGACUAAUACGAAGCGAUCCAUUGACCGCAAUAAGCAGACUGAAAAGAAUAAUUUUGGAAAAGAAAACCGCCAUGGAAUAUCUCGAGAAACGAAGCGGGGCCACCGCAACCUGCGAGUGCUGUUUUAACCAGUGCUCAUUACAGGAACUCAUAGAGUACUGUCCUUAACGAGAACGUUUAUUUCUAACUCUUUUCUAAACUAACUAACUAAAUUGUUUUUUUUUAAAAAAGGUUUUACCGUCUCUUAUGAAACCAAAUUGGAAAAUGUGUUUUCGUUUGUAUUUCUCUGCAACCUGUAUAUUGAUGGAAUACAUAUUAUUGUGACAAAUACAUUUUUAUGAAAUAAAAAGAAUUUUAAACAAUGUCUUGAAUUAUUAACAACAACAAUAAAAUAUGAAUUUUCA